rnacentral:rRNA from 1 species
UACAGAGGGUGCGAGCGUUGUUCGGAAUUACUGGGCGUAAAGCGCGCGCAGGCGGCCCUUUAAGUCCGUCGGUCAAAUGCCGGGGCUCAACCCCGAUGCAUGCCGAGGAUACUGGAGGGCUGGAGACACGUAGAGGCAAGCGGAAUUCCGGGUGUAGCGGUGGAAUGCGUAGAGAUCCGGAAGAACACCGGAGGCGAAGGCGGCUUGCUGGGCGUGAUCUGACGCUGAGGCGCGAAAGCGUGGGGAGCGAACAGG